AAACGAACCGACUAAAACAUAUUUAAAUCGGGUCUAAAUUUAAUUAAAAAAUGUUUAAACUUAUUUAAAAAUGUCUACCUCAUUUUUAUAGAAUUAAAACUUUUUUUUUCCCCCAUCGUAGCUUUCGGAAAUGACGUCAACACAUAUCAGAUAUCCAAAAAAAAUUGCAUUGUGUGUGUUAGCUUUUGCAGGUGAUGCGACUGUUGGGCACAGCAUCAUCAUCAUUUUUCUAAGACCUCGCACUGUUACCAAACAUUAUCGAUUCUUUUUUUUUUUUCUUUUAUUUUUGCGGUACUGCCACGUUCUGCGUUACGUUCAUAUUGUUACGGACUAACAUCUAAAUAUGGGCUGUGAUAAGCAGUUGUUUAUUUGUGUGGAUCUUGAGAGCUUUCCCUGUGUCUAGCUGGCUGGGGGCAAAGCUUGUGACUCAGCUGGUGUCACUAUUAAUAGCACGACUGUGUGUUGGCAUUCAUACUCGAGAGCGACUUCUUUAGUCUGUAAAUAUACUAGCAGCACACUUUUCAAAAAAAAAAAACUAGAAAUAAAUAUAUCGAUUUUUCGCCACUAGAAAUAAUCGAAACGUCUCUCUUUUUGUGUUAUCCACUCGAUAUUUUAAAUCCCCUACCCGUUGCGAGCGUAACACGUGGGUGGAAAGCAGAAAAAAAAAGAAGAAUAAAAUUUUGUAAACAUUUCUAUUCUCGUACAUGGCAAAAUUUUUAUUUCUAUUUU
rnacentral:lncRNA from 1 species